rnacentral:rRNA from 1 species
AGAGUUUGAUCCUGGCUCAGGAUGAACGCUGGCGGAGUGCCUAACACAUGCAAGUCGAGCGGCAGCGCGAAGAAUUUAUUCUUUGGCGGCGAGCGGCGGACGGCUGAGUAACGCGUGGGAACAUGCCCCAAAGUGAGGGAUAAGCAUCGGAAACGGUGUCUAAUACCGCAUAUGAUCUUCGGAUUAAAGGAUUUAUCCGCUUUGGGAAUGGCCUGCGUACGAUUAGAUAGUUGGUGAGGUAAAGGCUCACCAAGUCUACGAUCGUUAACUGGUUUGAGAGGAUGAUCAGUCAGACUGGAACUGAGACACGGUCCAGACUCCUACGGGAGGCAGCAGUGAGGAAUCUUCCACAAUGGACGAAAGUCUGAUGGAGCAACUCCGCGUGCAGGAUGAAGGCCUUCGGGUCGUAAACUGCUUUUAUGAGUGAAGAAUAUGACGGUAACUCAUGAAUAAGGGUCGGCUAACUACGUGCCAGCAGCCGCGGUCAUACGUAGGACCCAAGCGUUAUCCGGAGUGACUGGGCGUAAAGAGUUGCGUAGGUGGUUUGUUAAGUGAAUAGUGAAAUCUGGCGGCUCAACCGUACAGACUAUUAUUCAAACUGGCAAACUCGAGAAUGGUAGAGGUAACUGGAAUUUCUGAAGUAGGGGUAAUAUCCGUAGAUAUCAGAAGGAACACCAAUGGCGUAGGCAGGUUACUGGACCAUUUCUGACACUGAGGCACGAAAGCGUGGGGAGCGAACCGGAUUAGAUACCCUGGUAGUCC